GGAUUCACCCAUUGGUCAGGCUUAAUUGUCUGUACUGGUGAGAUGAGUCUCUACCUUCUGAGGAACUUUCAUGCCAUUUAUUUGGUGUGAUUGGAAAUCAGGACUGUUACUUUGAAAAAUUAGAGUGUUUAAAGCAGGCUAACGUCUGAAUACAUUAGCAUGGAAUAAUGAAAUAGGACGGAUUGAUUCUAUUUCGUUGGUUUCUAGGAUCACCGUAAUGAU
rnacentral:rRNA from 1 species